ACAUGCUAGCCUCAGAGAUGCUUUGCAAUGAGGGCCGCCACGAUUUUGGUCUUGUGGAAGCAGUGUUUGUGGAUGCAGUUCUUGGACGGUGUCUUUCCUGUUUCUGUGGCUGAAAUGUUUGACAGGUUAACAUGUAAGACAAUGUGGUUGAUAGUUGCCCGGUAAAAUGAAGUAAUGAAAAUAUCAUUAAUUUAUUUAACUUUUACACAGUUAAAAUUGUUGCUUUACUGGUUUAAUUCCUAAAUUUCUCUUUUACAGGUAACCAAGGUUGCAUUUUCACAGGCAGAAGGAUGGCACUGGUGUUGAAGGAAACCUCAUCUAUGGCAAGAGAAAUUUGCCAUAAGAGAAAUUUUUUUUGAGAAAAUCAUUAUCUGUUUCGUUUGGCCAAUUGAGUCGUUUGAGAAGAAGAACUAACUCCCAUAAGCAAGGAAAUCAUAUUUUAACUUGUGCAGUUAUGGAUAAUUAGAUUAAAUUUCAAUCUCCUCCCCCCCCCCCCCCCCCAAAUCCGUCAGUCUCCUCUCUCUCUCUCUCUCUCUCUCUCUCUCUCAUCUUUGUUAUGCAGAAAGUCUUGAAAGAUAUAUGUACCUGGUGGGCCUUUUCCAUGGAUGAGUUUUGUGCUGCUUGAUCACUUGAACUCUGCUCAUCUGUUGUUGACUGUUGUUUACGUACAGAUUCAGAUUGUUUCUUCAUCUUCGCGUGCUUCUUUGCGUGCAAGACCUUCAUAACCUCUGCGAACAGAAAAAGAGGAAUCAGAAUGAGUACUUGUUGGCCUCCGAGAAAAAGAUAGGUAGAUAGAGUAAACAGCCGAAGUAGAGAGGUAAGAGGUUACACAAACCUUGAGAAGUGAUAAGCCUGUAAGCAUGGCCAAGAGCGAGAGUAUCUGUCGGUCUAAGAAGCUUGACACGUGUGUACCGUAUAGUUUUCUGCUCCUGAUCCUGAGUUUCUUGCUCUGAUUGUGAAACAGGCAAAGGGAUGAUCAAGGAUACAUAAUGACCGGGAUUUGCUCUCAUGACCUCACUGACUGUAACAGGCCAGUAGAGUCUGUCAAUCCUUCCACUCGGAUGCUGUAUGACCAGAGCUGCAGCGUCUAUGGCCUGGCAAUUCCCCAUAUUCAAUAAUGGAAGAUAAGAAAGGAGAGGGAGAGGGAAACAAAAGUCUCUAUCUAUACAGAUGGGAAGGAAGAGAAUGGGAAGGCAGCAGGGUUCAAAUAAAGCACAAGGGGUCUUACUCAAACAGGCCGUCUCUCACUUCCCCAACUAACUUAUUCUACGUUGAGUCAAUUUAAU
rnacentral:lncRNA from 1 species